rnacentral:rRNA from 1 species
UUAGGUUAAGAGGAUGCGUCAGUCGCAAGAUGAAGCGUUGAAUUGAAGCCCGAGUAAACGGCGGCCGUAACUAUAACGGUCCUAAGGUAGCGAAAUUCCUUGUCGGUUAAAUACCGACCUGCAUGAAUGGCGUAACGAGAUGGGAGCUGUCUCAACCAGAGAUUCAGUGAAAUUGUAGUGGAGGUGAAAAUUCCUCCUACCCGCGGCAAGACGGAAAGACCCCGUGGACCUUUACUACAACUUAGCACUGCUAAUGGGAAUAUCAUGCG